UCCUCCCCAACACGAACCACUCGUAGGACAUGGUCAGGCGUGCUAGGUGUGCAUCCCAACAGGCCAGGUCUUGGGAGCCAUGGAGAAGUAGGAGCGGAUGAAAACCAUAUGGGGCAGUGGGCGCCAAAGUGGAGCUGUGACUGUGUUUACUCGGUCUCUGUUCAUCGAGUGGGGCUGAUGUAGAUGGGACUGGAGAGGGAGGCAGGGAUGAGGGCAAGAUUCGACGCACCCAUAGAACUCUGUGUAGUGAUAGUUCUUGCUUGGCUUUAUUAGUUUGCAGAGGAAUCGUCCAGGAGCCCUAGCCUGACAAGAAUAUGGCAGAAGUGGACCUGAGCGGCCUGGACAUCCUUCUAAGGAGACAUGAAUAGUCCUCAUGUUUCUGCCUUCUGCAUCGCUGGCUGAGAGUAAGAUACCAAGGAAAACAAAGUCACACAUCAGUCUACUGCCCUCAUGCAAUGGAAAGUGAGCCAGAGAGUCGAGACUCUGAGCAUUGUUGAUGUCACGCAAAAAACAUCUAUCUGGAAGCCGAGGAGACGCCGCUCUCAGUGAGAUAAGUGUCUGGUUUCAUGACGGCUCUCCUCACGCCCAACCUGAGUCCAGGUUAGGAAGCCCAGUACAGUAGGGCUGGGUUUGUAUGAAAAGGUUCCUGACUAGCUGUGGUUACGAGGGAGAAAAGUUUCCUAUUUUCAGUACUUGCUCAUUUCUAUGGCCAGGAACGGUGUCUCCUCUGCAGCGGAAGUUUGGAUUCAGGAGGGUGACUCCAGGUGGUCAGUUGCUUGCUUUCCUCCCAUGUUUUUCUCUCUGUCUCUCUUCUCUAGUACGUUGGCCAACACACACCCUCUAUCUCUCUCUCUGUCCUUGCCUUUCCUCGUGUUGUCUCCCUUCGUAAGACACGGGCAGCCAUGUAAUGUGUGCAUCAACACAGGCUAUGUCUCGGGAGCCAUGGAGAAGUAGGAGGGGACGAAAAUCAUCCAGGGCUGUGACUGUCGGUGUAAUCUCGGUCUCUGUUCGUCGAGCGGGGCCGAGGUAGAUGGGAUUGGAGAGGGAGGCCAGGAGGAGGGCAAGAUUUGAAGCACCAAUAGAGGUUGGUGUAGUGAUGGCUCAUGCUUGGCUUUUGCAGCUGCGCUUCCAGAGGAAUUUUCCAGGACCCCUAUCUCGAGGAGAAACUGGGAGAAGUGCACAUGAGCAGACUGGACAUCCUUGUCAGCCGACAUGAACAGUCCUCAGCUUUCUAACUCCCGCAUAACUGGCUUACCGAGGGAAAAGAAAUCAAACGUCAGAGUUUACUCCCCUCGUCGGAUGGAAAGCGAGCAAGAGCAGUGAGUCUGUGAGCAUUGUAGAUGCAAGUCAGGAGCCGUCCAGUUGGCAGUGGAGCAGUCGCUACCGUCAGUGAGAUAAGUGUGUGAUUUGGUGAGGGUUCUGCGUAGGGCCCCACUGGCUCCAGGUAGGGACGCCCCGUUAGCUG